rnacentral:ncRNA from 1 species
GGUUGCAGUCGCCAAACCUGCUGUAAAGCAGGGACGGAAAAUCACGGAUCCUUUUCUACAGCAAAACCGGAUUGCGCAG